UGAGGAACAUGACCUUCGGCGGGGGAUAGCCGGCCCAACGGCCGGGUAAUACCGCGUACGACCUUUCGGGGACAUCCCCGGAUGGUGAAAGCAGCAAUGCGCCGAUGGAGUGCCUCGCGGCCUAUCAGCUAGUUGGUGAGGUAACGGCUCACCAAGGCGACGACGGGUAGCUGGUCUGAGAGGAUGGCCAGCCACAGUUGGGACUGAGACACGGCCCAGACCUCCGUACGGGAGG
rnacentral:rRNA from 1 species